UACACUCCUGCGGGAGGCAGCAGUGGGGAAUUUUGGACAAUGGGCGAAAGCCUGAUCCAGCAAUGCCGCGUGAGUGAAGAAGGACUUCGGGUUGUAAAGCUCUUUUGUCAGGGAAGAAACGGUGAAAGCUAAUAUCUUUUGCUAAUGACGGUACCUGAAGAAUAAGCACCGGCUAACUACGUGCCAGCAGCCGCGGUAAUACGUAGGGUGCAAGCGUUAAUCGGAAUUACUGGGCGUAAAGCGUGCGCAGGCGGUUUUGUAAGUCUGAUGUGAAAUCCCCGGGCUCAACCUGGGAAUUGCAUUGGAGACUGCAAGGCUAGAAUCUGGCAGAGGGGGGUAGAAUUCCACGUGUAGCAGUGAAAUGCGUAGAUAUGUGGAGGAACACCGAUGGCGAAGGCAGCCCCCUGGGUCAAGAUUGACGCUCAUGCACGAAAGCGUGGGUAGCAAACAGGAUUAGAUACCCCAGUAGUCCCUGAU
rnacentral:rRNA from 1 species